UACAGAGGGUGCAAGCGUUGCUCGGAAUCAUUGGGCGUAAAGGGUAGGUAGGUGGUCUCAUUUGUCUGGGGUGAAAUCCUUGAGCUUAACUCAAGAAGUGCCCUAGAAACGGUGAGACUGGAGUCCUGGAGAGGGUCGUGGAAUUCCCGGUGUAGCGGUGAAAUGCGUAGAGAUCGGGAGGAACACCAGAGGCGAAGGCGGCGACCUGGACAGGUACUGACACUCAACUACGAAAGCGUGAGGAGCAAACAGG
rnacentral:rRNA from 1 species